GACAACAUCUCUUUGGCGAAGGAGGAGCUCUCAGAUUGUAAAUAAUUGCGGACGCUGAAGUCAGAUCGAUGUCAUUUACGAUUGCUCGUUCUUCAAAGAUCGCUACGGAACACGUUUGAAAAAGAGAGAAAGUAAUACGGAUUUAUAAUGGGAUUUCAGGUCAUCGUUAACGGACUGCAAAGUUGAAAUGGCGUACACUCUUUCGAGGAACUAACUUCGACGGCUACAAAGAUUAUUUAUUUACGGUUCGCGAACACGAACAUUUCAUCGCGAAAUCGCGACAUUUCUCCCUUUAUCUCUCUUUCUCCUUCGCUCUUCUUUUUUUCUUUUUCAAGGGAGUAAACUCGCAUCCCUACCCCUUUGCUUUUCUGCGCAUACUUUCUUACGAGGGUUACCCUCGAAACUUAAUAAGCGGUUUUCGCGAGUUAAACGUCGUUAGUUAUUCAUGCGAGAGGAUAACAAUGGAUCCUUUCCAUCGAGCUCCUGAAACUUUUAGUUUUCUUUCCAUCGAAUCUAGCUUCGUAUGUAAACUUUACUAAACUGUGAACUCUAUAGUAUUUUUACUUUAUUUUUUUAUUUUGUUUAUACUGAAUAUGUAUUGAGGAUAUGGAAGAAAAUAAGUUUCUUAAAAUUAAUUUCCAGCCACAAUAUCGCUCGAGAGGAUCACGAGAGAGGGAGAUAGACAGAGGGAGAGAGAAAGAGAGGGGUCAGAGAGAGAGGAGAGGGAGAAAUGUUAUCUAUAUUCGUGCAAGAAUUAAUUGUUAUUUUACGACGAAAAAAAAAAAUAAAAUACUCUAGUAAAAAAAAGAGUUUUAAAUGUAUGCAUAAAAAUUGUGUGCAUAUGUUGGUUAUGCAUUAAAGUUUCAAGAUAGCUAUUAUAAUGAUAAGCGUGAUAUACUCAGCUUCAAAAAUAAAUGUUACGAAAUAGAUAACGAGAUACAAAUAUCAUCACAAAAAGAAAAGAUAACAUUAUUAUCAAAACUAAUAUAUGAUUAGAAUAUGUGUAAGUACAACCAAACUUGAGAACUUCAUAGAAGAAACGAACGUAUUAAUAAAAUAGAGUUUAAUAAGAGAAAUACGACCUAGAAAUAAAGGAUAUAAAAUAAAAGAUAUAGAAAAAACCAAUAUGAUAUAUUAAAAAACAAAUUAUCUAAUAUAAAUUAUGAAACGUGUAUUUAUAUGCAAUACAUCAUGCGUCAAAAAAAAAGAAACUCCAAAGAAAGUAUUGAAUAUAUUGAAACUAUAAUUAAUGAUUGGUAGUUAUCGAAAAAUAAUGAGCAUUUCUUUCUAUCAUAUAUCUUCGCGCAGUGAUGAGUCAUUUCAUCUUUGUUUCUUUCGGGCUUUGUUUUUCUUUCGCUUUGUUUAGUGCGUUAUGUGGAGUCAAGCCGUAGGAGAGUAAACAUUGGUCGUGACCGAGGCCUAAGAACAAAUGUUUAUUUAUAUACAAUCGUGCUGUAACCUUCCGAACAUUUAUAUGUGAUCGGAGAUCGUCCUUGGAUAUACCGAUCAGUUUGAAACGAGACAUUGCGGCGUUAGUAUGGAUAAGACACGUUCAGACAAGUUUAUUCAAAUCUGUGCUAUGAUUGUGCCUCUCCAUGAUGGGACCGAAGGACCAGAAAACGAAGAAAGUAUCGGAGAGACGAGUAUCUACUACCAAAAAGAGAAGCUUUUUUCGCCGGGGGUCUAAAAGGUGGAGCCCUCUGACCGGAUUGAAGGGUUGGUUUAUUCUCGCUCACACAGUGCAAGUAUGUGUGGAAGUAUCCAGGGAACUCGAGGUGGAUCGAUCGAAAAGUUUCGUCGAAGGAAGGGCGAAAAGAACCGAAGAUGUGGUAAAGAAUCGUAUUAAGGGCAACGUCACGGUUCCCCGCGAUUAAAUUUUCAAGAAGGGGUCGGAGAAAAAAAGGGCGACGAAGACGAAGCAAAGAAGAAGCAAGAUCGAGAGAGUAACUUGAGCAGAGGAGAAUAGAAAAAGUAAAUUAUCGGUUGACUCGCAUCCUCGCCGAACCUCGACGAAGUCACGCCAUUGGAAGAUGCAAAGAACCUUAGGGAAAAGUACC